GUGAUAUUAAGNAAACCCAAAAAGACAGUCUCAGUUCGGAUUGAAGGCUGAAAUUCGCCUUCAUGAAGCCGGAAUUGCUAGUAAUGGCAGGUCAGCAUACUGCCGUGAAUACGUUCCCGGGCCUUGUACACACCGCCCGUCACACCAUGAGAGUUGGGGAUACCCGAAGCCUGUGAGCUAACAGUAAUGAAGCAGCAGUCGAAGGUAGAAUCAAUGAUUGGGGUGAAGUCGUAACAAGGUAAC
rnacentral:rRNA from 1 species